GCGGAAUGUAGAAUCUGGGUAGUAAGGGGAUGGGAUUUAGUUUUGUGGCUGAGUUAUAAGUGUGAGGAAAGCUGUGAUUAGGUGUUUUUUUUUUUUUUUUUUUUUAUGAAAAAUACAGUGGUUUGGAUAUUCUUUAAAUNNNNNNNNNNNNNNNNNNNNNNNNNNNNNNNNNNNNNNNNNNNNNNNNNNNNNNNNNNNUUUUUUUUUUUUUUUUUUGAUGAAAAAUACAGUGGUUUGGAUAUUCUUUAAAUGUAUUUCAAGUUGAAUUUGGAAGAAACAAGAGAAGAGUUUGAGGCAAAAGUGGAAGACUUAUCUUUGAGUACUUCAUUAAAGGAGCUGUGGAACCACCCUUGCAAAAACUGCCUUGCAAAUUGUGCUGAGGAAAGAAGAUUUAAAGGUGAAGCUGCUGUGAUUUUUAGAAGCAUCUGUUAAGAUGAUGCUACAGAGCAUGCAAUAGCUGUGUGACUCAGCUAGAAACAAGGUGGAAGGCUGUUUUUCAGUGGAUGAUCCAGGAAGAAAAAGGAUUUAUUUUCUUUUCCCCCUAAGAAGGUAUCUCUUUUGAUAAAGGGCAGAGUUGGUGGAAGGGUGUGACUGGAGUGGGUAUCAGCUAUUAGAAUGGAGCAUGUGGAUGAUUUGUUGACAUUAUGCAAACAGCAUGGAAUAGCAGUCAUUCAUCUGUAGUACUGUUUUAAGCAUGAUGUUGGCCAACUUUGGAUACCUUGGUACAAGAUGCUGUUGAGUCAAGAAGUAAAAGCAGAGAAGAGCAAUUAAAAUAAACUCACCAGGGACUCUGACUUAGUACGACUCUUGCAUUUGUGACAGGCAAGAAGCAACAGAAAGGAGAUCUGAUGAUGGUCAUCUAUGUGUGGCAGCUGUUUGCUCUGCUGAUGAAGAUUCAGACUCCCAUCUUUUUAGGAGAUAGCACAGGCCAGCCAGUUCAGGAAAGAAUUCAAUGCUUUGCAGAUGGAUGGAUGUUAAAAUGUGUGCAAAUGAAAUGUACAGUGCAGUCUCCGAGAAGCCGAUCAGUUUGUGUAUUCUGUAUAUACUGCUUCAGUGCAUGCUGAAGGCUGAAUCUAUAGGUUGAAUAGAAUUGAUUUUCAUAGAAGCAAUGUUUUACUGCUGUUUUUCUUGUGGUGAUUCUUCUAGCUUUGUUUAGAGAUCUUCAUAGAAAAUAUUUGAUUAAUAAAGAGCCGUGCAAUAUCA
rnacentral:lncRNA from 1 species